AUUGAACGCUGGCGGCAGGCCUAACACAUGCAAGUCGAACGCGUGGCGGACGGGUGAGUAAUGUCUGGGAAACUGCCUGAUGGAGGGGGAUAACUACUGGAAACGGUAGCUAAUACCGCAUAACAUCAGAUGUGCCCAGAUGGGAUUAGCUAGUUGGUGGGGUAACGGCUUACAAAGUAGACGAUCACUAGCUGGUCUGAGAGGAUGACCAGCCACACUGGAACUGAGCAACGGUCCAGACUCCUACGGGAGGCAGCAGUAGGGAAUAUUGCACAAUGGGCGCAAGCCUGAUGCAGCCAUGCCGCGUGUAUGAUGAAGGCCUUCGGGUUGUAAAGUACUGUCAGCGGGGAGGCGUUACCCGCAGAAGAAGCACCGGCUAACUCCGUGCCAGCCGCCGCGGUAAUUC
rnacentral:rRNA from 1 species